CCUACGGGUGGCAGCAGUAGGGAAUAUUGCUCAAUGGGCGUAACCCUGAAGCAGCAACGCAGCGUGGAGGAUGAAGGUUCUAUGAUUUUUAACUCCUUUUGUUACAGGAGUUUAUGACGGUACCUAACGAUUUAUCCCCGGCUAACUCCGUUCCAGCCGCCGCGGUAAUACGGAGGGUGCAAGCGUUACUCGGAAUCACUGGGCGUAAAGCGUGCGUAGGCGGGGUAAUAAGUCAGAUGUGAAAUCCUGUAGCUUAACUAAAGAACUGCAUUGGAAACUGUUACUCUGGAGUGUGGGCUAGGGAGGUGGAAUUCGUGGUGUAGGGGUAAAAUCCGUAGAGAUCAAGAGGAAUACUCAUUGCGAAGGCGACCUGCUGGAACAUUACUGACGCUGAUGCACGAAAGCGUGGGGAGCGAACAGGAUUAGAUACCCUAGUAGUC
rnacentral:rRNA from 1 species